UUGACGCGCAUGAAUGGAUUAACGAGAUUCCCUCUGUCCCUAUCUACAUUCUGGUGAACCCACAGGCAAGGGAACGGACUUGCAUGAACACAGCGGGGAAAGAAGACCCUGUUGAGCUUGACUCUAGUCUGAAUUUGUACGGAGACAUCGGAGGUGCAGCAUAAGUGGGAGGUGCGCAAGUGCCGACUCAUGAGAUACCACUACUCCCUUCGUCUCCGUACUCUACUCGGUUUAUGGGAGAAUUAAAAUGAAUUCCAAAAAACGGAAGCAGUGCUCUACCUUCUCCAAGGUAUGGGUAUUGUUUUGCUUAUGAGACUCGCCUACCGAGGACAGAUUCAUGACGCGCAUGAAUGGAUUAACGCUCAAAAGUGGCGGAACAUCCGGGCAAGGCAUCGGAUGUUGAGAUGAUUAAGAUGAUGCUUUCUGCUCAGGAAACAUUAGCAAGUUCAGUUGCUCAUGCAGGUGCGGUUGCCGCCGAUGCUGGUGAUAUAUCUUACAGAAGCUUUGGGCAUUGCCGGCGGACAAGAGCAUGAAAAACAGGAGCAGUUACCACGCGCACACCCAGGUUCGUCAAAUCCAUGGACGAGA
rnacentral:rRNA from 1 species